CGAGUGGUGCCGCGGCCGGUUCUCGCUUCUCAGACAGGCGUUUUUUCCGCUGCCUGAACACGACUCCAGUGCUGAUGCUGAUCCAGCGCUUUCAGUGGGAUUUUCUGUGGACUUUCCCGAUGUGGGGACACGGGUUGUGGUGUCAACGGCACGGGCAGAGUCAGGCAGCGGCAGGCACACCUGCGUCUCGGUCGCGCUGUGCCGCUUCUGACUCAAAGCCCCCAGCACAUUCCCGCACUUCUCUGUUCCCGCCCGGCCCGGGGAAAUAGAGGAAAACACAAAAGCAUCGAGGAAGAACAGUCAACGGAGCUACCUGAGUCACCCCCCCUGCCCACAGGGCGGCAGCUGCCUGCAUCCGGGAGCAGGCAGCGGGAGGAUGCAGCUGCUCUUUACCAGAAGAUUGUAGAUAAAUGGGGAAAAUAUUUGGCAUAAAGAAGUGAAAUGCAUGAGGAAAGCUCCAUGUUCCCAAGGAUUCCCUUGCUUUAGGGAUGUGCAGCUACUGAACUGCACCAAUAAUUCCAGCUCCCACAGAAACCUUCCAAAGCUGGAAGAGACAGGGAAGAAAAUUCCAAGAGUGGUGGGAAGUGCUUUUUCCCAGGUCUGGAUAGCAUUGAGGUUGGAAUGACUUAAAAAUAUUCCUUGCCCCUCUCCUGUGCCAGCCCAGGACUAAGUUGGUGUUCUCUGAGUUCCCUGGAUGUGGAGAAAGGUGGUCUGUGCUGGAGAGUGAGAGAAAGGUCCCUGCUGGUUGCUGUGUCCUCGGUGGGCAGAGAGCUCUGAUCUUGGCAAGAUGUGUUUGUGAGAAUUGAAUCAAUCCUGCCUCCUUUUGAAUGAGUUGUUUUAAUGAGUUAUCAGCAGGGACCACUUUUAGCCAGCUUUAGUUAAGUUUCUUUGUCACAGGUUUCUUUUUUUGAUCCUGAAAUCACCAAAACCUAAAGUUUGCUGAACUAACCCUGAAAUGCUUCAAUGAAUCAAUCCUGCAGAAACUGGAGAUUGGAUAUCUGGGAUCUUAUGGCCGUUCAAAGCUGUGUGGAUUUACCCCCUGAUUUUGGUCCCAAGGGAAACUCCAAGAGAAGAGUCUUUCUAUCUGUGUGAACCAUGAGUGGCUGUUCAAAGAGAUGCAAGCAUGGGAUUGUCAAAUUUGCCCAGACUGUUUUUAAACUCAUCACAGGCACUCUCAGCAAAGUUUAGUAGUUCCUCUGUUGGUGCCCUCAGGUAAGUUAUGUUCCUUUUGUUGCCCAUUCCUCUCAUCACACUUCAGUACACCUCUGGCAGCUAUGUGAGUAUCGGUGAUCUCUGUGGAAACUCCUGACAGCUGUAAAUAAUACUAUACUUGAAUGCUGCUCGCCUGUUGAAAUGUGGUCAGUUCUUAGGUGAAGGUCAGACUUCUCCAAGUUUUGUGUGUUUGGUUGGAGGCAGGGGUAGUUUUGGGAAUUGAUAAUAUGGUUUGAACUAAAUUAUUAGCAGAGAUAUUUGUAUAAGGCUGAAGAGUCUCGGUUAUGAUGCAGUUUUUUAAAAUACACAAUCAAGCUCUUUUUAAUAUAGUUAUAUUUAAAGAACAAAAAUAGAAACACUUUUUUUUCAUAUAAGUUUAGAAUUCUUGGAGAUGUGUGGCUGUGUUGGCUGUUUGGAGCAUGCAGAUGCUCUACUAUGAAUUUUAAUGUUUAAGUAAUUUCUUAGGGUAAACUAAAGCAGGCUUAGGUAACUUUCAAAAAAGUAAAUGUAAAAGUGCCAUGAACUGUUAAGAGCAGUUUACUUUUGCAGAAACUGGGAAAAUUUAUUCAAUCAUUCUCUGUAGAAAAGAAAUGUAGCUCUUAGACAGCUUUCUCAUAUUAACAUUACUGGCUUGCAAAAGAAAUCUGCACCAGAAAAAUGUCUGUCACAUUAAGAAUACUGGACAGGUUGGUUGUUUUUAAAAUCAAGCUGGUUUAAAAUUACAUCAGUGUGUAUGUAAUUUUUUUCUUCCACUUUCCUCUGUAUUGUCCAUAUCCUGCCAAACACCAGCAGAGGAAAGAAUAAAGAAUUGUAAAAGUCUGUCAUACAAAAGAGCUGACAGAUUUUGGUUACAAUUCAUGAUUAAUGCCAAGAUGCUUCUCUCACUGUUAAAAAAAAAGUGAGAAAAACCAAUUACUUGUCAUGCUCAGAAGAAAAGGUAGUGGAGAUGUCUGCAAAAUCUUGUUUUCUAAGGCAUAUCAGUAUGGUGAAUUUGGUGUGCUUUAUUUGUGCUUUUUUUCAUGAGGCAGUGGUAUAUAGGAUGCAUGUAUUAUAGCCACAAGUGAUCAAUGGUAAGCUUUGUGCCAUCUGCUUGAGCUCCACUGAGGCAAGAGGACACUUGUGUUCUGGUCAUGUUUCUCCACACGUAUAUCUAGAGUGCUUCAUCUAAAGCGGUGCUUUCAAGCAGCCUUUGUGUUUCUUGACACAAUAAAUACAAUAAUAAAAUGAGACUGCCACAGUUGCCUUUGCUCUGGCAAUGGGAGAGAUGAAAAUUUGAGUCUGACGACAGAAUAGCACUGAAUGAAGAGCUAGAAAUUAAAGUAUAAAACCAAUGUCCAAGACCUGUUUCUUCUGCCCCCUGCUGCCUUCUGAAAUGCGCCAGCAUUGCACUAUUGUGGUCAUUCAGCCAAUGCAACGGUGUUGUACGCUUUUACCCAUCUCUUUCCCAUGCCAAUGUCUCACUUCAAGCUGUUUGGAUGAGAUAAGAGUGUCUUCCUAGGUUUCAAAGAAUUUUAAACUUUGAAAAACUUCCUCUUUUUUUCCCAUUCAGCUUGUGUUUUAAACUGAGAGAACCUGAUUCAGGAAGGAAUAAACUACAUUAAUUAGUUUUUUGCACAGACAUCAAAGACCUGCUAUAAUUAGAAUAAAUGUUUCCAUAAAGUUACCUAAAAGAAUCAUAACUAGAAAGUUAUUAGAAAAAAUAAUGCUCAGAAUUGUUGAAUUUUUAAAAAAGUGUUUAUGUUUGUUUAUAUGUUCAUCCUGGAGCUUAUUGCUUAAUAUUUCUUUUAGUAAAAGUUCUGCAUGUAAAGCCUAGAAAUAGAAACUCUUGUAAAUCACUAUUAUUGGUUUUUUAAACUUACACCAUAUACAUGCUUUUGCAUAUUCAAGUAUUAUCAGCUGUGUUUUUCACCCCACUCCUGCCUCAUUUCUUUCAUAUUGUUUAAUGUGAGAAUUUACUUUAAAUACUUUUUACAAGGAAAAUCCUUUACUAGGCACAAGGUCCACUCUCUUCUUAUGCUUGAACCAUUUUGUAGGGUUAUUGCAGUUGGAGAUACUCUACAGUUCAAUUGGCAUGUAAUCCUUAGCUGUGCUCUAUGGCUUCUACUUGUUUUAACAAUAGCAAUGGUUAUUUACAAUAUUAAAAUGAAAUUGAUUGCAGCUAUGAAGUCGUUCCUUUUGCAGCAAGGUGUGAGGAGGUGUGCUGGUUUUGCAUCACGGAAGUGAUGUUCUAAGAGAAGCUGCUAGCAGUUUCCUCUGUGUCUGACAAAAAAACCAAUCAGUAAUUAGCUUUGAGAAUUGACAAUCUGUUGAACUACUGAGAAAGCCGAUAUGCCUCUGUGAACACCCAUGUUAAAAAUAAAAAAAUCCUGAGAAUUCUCUCUUUCUUUUCUGGCCUGAGAACAGGUAACAAGACCAGCCCAGCCCCCCUCUCUCGGCCGAGCUGGGUGGGUUCUGCCGCGGGCUCGGCCCCAUUGGCUGCUGGGCACGGGGACGGAAGGCCGUGGGGCUAGGCCGGCUGUGGCUGCAGCUGCUAACAUCCUGCCGCUGUUAAGCCCUGACCCGCUGCUAGCCCAGGCCAGGGUCCGCUGGGCCCCGGCUACACCGGAGCAGCGCUGGGCCAGUCUGGCUCAGCCAGGAUUCUACCACCACUGAGAUUCACUCGCAACCACAGGACGGAGGGGAAGGAGAAGCCAUUGCCCCCCCAACUGCGGCCUGCUGCUGCUGAGUUCUGGCCUCUCUGUUAAGAUCCUACCCACUUCUUUCCCCCCCAGCCCAGCUGCAAGCUACUGAGCCUGGCCAGGGUCAGGUGACCAUCUGCAGGCCCCGGGCGAAAUAUUAACUCUUUCACUGCUUCAGUCUUCCCUCGAGUGAGAGAAAAGGACAAGUGCAGGCAUGUGAAGGAACUACAUGAAAACACCGAGGUCAGUGAAGACGUCAAGUCCCAGAUGGGAGGGAUGAGGAGGUGCCUUAAUCUUGGGGCUGAAAUUCUCUUGUAAAGCUUUGGAGAAGACUGUAAUUGAUACAUCAGACUCUUUUCCCCUCUAAUACAUGAAGGUAUGGGGAGAUGAGAAUGUUCAAAUUGUAUAUAUCUCGCAAAGGCCUCCAUGCUAAAGUAAGCAAAUGUUGAAGUAGCUGUGAUCCCAUAAGAAGUUUGAACAGAGAAAGAGAGAAGAGUGAUGAAGACCCUGUGCCCCCUGGGAGAAGAGAAGAAGACCACUGUUCCCAGAGAUGAAGAUGCUUUCAAAGAUAGAUAAAGAGAACCUUUGCUCUUGAACAGCACAUCUUUAAAAUAGUACCCCAUAAGUUGACAUGGGCCAUAAACACAGCCGUGGGAAAAGCUGUAAAAAUGGGAGGGACUUUAUGAUUGCAGAUGUUACGGGUGGCUGCUAUUCAUGGAAACUGAAAGCCAUGAGAGCUUCUCUUCUUCUUUUGGAGAAGUCUCCAUAAAUUUACUAGAUGAACUCCUCUCCCUAAGAGAACUGCAGAAAGGCUAUUCUAGAAGUGAUAAACUGAUUGUUUCUGUACACUGUGAGUGAGAAAUAAAAAGUUGUAGGGGGAGAAGUGUUUUAAAGGUUUUAUUCUGAUUCUUGUUAUUCUUUUAGUUACUGUUAUUAAAGCUUUCUUUAUAUCCUUUUAAA